CCCCAGACUCCUACGGGAGGCAGCAGUGGGGGAUAUUGCACAAUGGGGGAAACCCUGAUGCAGCGACGCCGCGUGGGCGAAGAAGUCUUUCGGUAUGUAAAGCCCUAUCAGCAGGGAAGAAGAAAUGACGGUACCUGAGUAAGAAGCACCGGCUAAAUACGUGCCAGCAGCCGCGGUAAUACGUAUGGGGCAAGCGAUAACCGGAUUUACUGGGUGUAAAGGGAGCGCAGGCGGCACGGCAAGCCUGAUGUGAAGGCCCGCGGCCCAACCGCGGGACUGCAUUGGGAACUACCGGGCUGGAGUGCCGGAGAGGUAGGCGGAAUUCCUAGUGUAGCGGUGAAAUGCGUAGAUAUUAGGAGGAACACCAGUGGCGAAGGCGGCCUGCUGGACGGUGACUGACGCUGAGGCUCGAAAGCGUGGGGAGCAAACAGGAUUAGAUACCCGGGUAA
rnacentral:rRNA from 1 species